rnacentral:rRNA from 1 species
GGACUACUGGGGUAUCUAAUCCUGUUCGCUCCCCACGCUUUCGCUCCUCAGCGUCAGUAAUGGCCCAGAGACCCGCCUUCGCCACCGGUGUUCCUCCUGAUAUCUGCGCAUUCCACCGCUACACCAGGAAUUCCAGUCUCCCCUGCCACACUCCAGCAUGCCCGUACCGGAAGCAGAACCGGGGUUAAGCCCCGGUCUUUCACUCCCGACGCGACACGCCGCCUACGAGCCCUUUACGCCCAAUAAAUCCGGACAACGCUCGCACCCUACGUAUUACCGCGGCUGCUGGCAC